GAUUGAAUGAGUGUGACUGGAUGAGUGUGACUGGAUGAGUGUGACUGGAUGAGUGUGACUGAAUGAGUGUGACUGAAUGAGUGUGUCUGAAUGAGUGUGUCUGAAUGAGUGUGUGUGAUUGUUUUAGGUUUAUAGUUCUACACAGUGGUCUGAUUUGAUCCGGUUGGGGUUUGACCUUGCCCCGAUUCUGAAAUGAUAGUACCCGACAUGCGAGCUCCUGAGGCAAUGAGCAUGUCAUAAAUUGUGGUCAGAAGUGAUGACUCGAUCAGAUAUACUAGUGCCGAGGAGUUUUGUAGUGUUACCUCAUUCUCCACACUGGCCAAUGAGUAUAACAGCGAUUCUGAUCUGC